CAGAAAAAUCACACAAUGGUUUGAACAGAAAAAAAAUCAACACAUACAAAAAAGAAGACGGAAGUCGUGAAGGGUUGGCUACGUCAUAGGAGGGACAGCGGGCGUAAGAGGCAGGUAGUACCCCACCACCCCCUACCCCUCACCCCUGAGCUGAGAUAAGGAGCUCAGGCUAUCUUUUCACAAGCUUGGCAACCAGACCUCACUGUGGAGUGUGAGAGCUUCGGGAGCGGCAUUCGUCGAAACGCUGAUUUCUGGAGUGGCAGAGAAAGCCAUCCACCCAGAAGUUGCUUUGCUUCAGAGGAAGCCGUUGCAGAGCAAAUAUCCACCAUGCCUCUGCCUAUGCAGAAUUCUCAGCAUCCAUCACCGGCCAAAAGCUCCUCUGGCAGUAGUGGAGCCUUGUGACGCCCUCCCCAUCCAUGCUGGAGUAUUGACUGGCUUGACCUUGUGUUCAUCUUGAACGGGCAAACAACAGCUGCUGGAGAAAAUGAAUGGUGGAGAGUUUUUAGAGACUAGAAGUACCAUCAGAGUACCAUUUAUAGCACUGACUCAUCGUCCUCCGUUACACACGCUGAGGAUUUCCUCUAUUUAUA